GGAUUAGAUACCCUGGUAGUCUACGCCGUAAACGAUGUGCACUUGGUGUUGGGGAGUUAAUUCUCAGUGCCGAAGUAAACGCGAUAAGUGCACCGCCUGGGAGUAUGCCGGCAACGGUGAAACUCAAAGGAAUUGACGGGGGCCCGCACAAGCGGUGGAGCAUGUGGUUUAAUUCGAUAUACGCGAGGAACCUUACCAGGGCUUGACAUAGAGACGACAGGUCUAGAGAUAGAUCCUUUCUUCGGAACGUCUUUACAGGUGCUGCAUGGUUGUCGUCAGCUCGUGUUG
rnacentral:rRNA from 1 species